rnacentral:rRNA from 1 species
UACGUAGGUGGCAAGCGUUUGUCCGGAAUUAUUGGGCGUAAAGCGCGCGCAGGCGGCCUCUUAAGUCUGAUGUGAAAGCCCCCCAGCUCAACCGGGGAGGGCCAUUGGAAACUGGGAGGCUUGAGUAUAGGAGAGAAGAGUGGAAUUCCACGUGUAGCGGUGAAAUGCGUAGAGAUGUGGAGGAACACCAGUGGCGAAGGCGACUCUUUGGCCUAUAACUGACGCUGAGGCGCGAAAGCGUGGGGAGCAAACAGG